GCAUUUGCAAUAAGGAUGAGAAGGAUGACAAAUGGCUCGACAAAGGCAGUGACAGUUUCCUCGCCUUCCUCAAACCAGGCCAGUACCUGAUGAACAGAGAGAGUGUGAGAGACAUCCAAGAUCCAUACGCGAGGGAUGGAGGAAGGGAGGUGACCCUCACAGCUCUAGCGUGGCCAAAGAAAUGGAGAUUGUGUGGGGUACAGCAGUUAUUUUGCCAUUCAGGCUUUUAUAAGUUGAAAUAGUUUUCACCACUGGCUCUCUGUGACUCUUCAACUCUGACCCCUUGCCCCCUCUCUGACCUGGGCCCCAUCAGGUGUGCUUGUGUGUCAUGUUUCUGACAUCCCUGUCGCGGUACAGAAUGUGUCCCGGCGCUGCUGUCAUGUCUGUGCUCACGUUGCAGCACGGGUCGCAUUGCUGCAAAAAUGCGCUAGAUGAUUUCUUACCAUUCACACUAAUUUCUUAUGUCAAAAAUUAAAAAAAAAAAAAAAAUUCUCCUGUCCUGAGCGAAAAAAAGUAUACCCGUUUCCACUAUAUAGUAAGCUGUUUUCAACCUUAAUAAUAAGAAUUGUUUCUUGCGCACCAAAUCAGCAUAUUACAAUGAAGACUGGACUGAAGAUUACAAAUGACUGUUAAGCUUUGCCAUUACAGGAAUAAAAUACGUUUUAAAAUAUGUUAAAAGGUUAUGUUAUAUUGUAAUAAAAUUUCACAAUAAAACAUGGCAUAGUAAUACAUUAUCAGCAAAGCCGGCUGAAGAAAGAGUUGCUAGAUAACGGUGCACAUAAGCACAAAGCACAGGAAGUUUGAUUAGAAAUGAACUGAGUGAUGAUCUUCUGCUGGUGAAGUGAUUGACGGCUGAUGUUGUGCUGGAGAGAGAUAGGACACAUGGAACUGACAGGUUAGUGCUGGAAGAUUUAAGAAAUAACAUUCCCUCAUUUUAUGAGUAUAUUUACCCUUCUGUAGCUCUGUCAUUGUGUGUGUGUGUGUGUCUUCCUUUUUAGGUCUGCACUUGGCUCAGGGAACAUACAGAGACGCUGCUGAUGACAGGAAGACGGAUCAAGGGAAAGAGAAGAGGGACUCAGGAAAGCCAAGAUGCUGGGAUGAACUGAAGGUUAAAUAUAUACAGUGGUGAAUGAGAGGAGUGUAGAAUGGAGCUAGAGAAACAAAUAUGAAGAAAAAAGUUUAGAAGUGAUAGAGUAAAAAGUGAAUUUGAGGAAUUAGAGAAAGUAAUGAAGAAGAAAAGCAACAUCUUCGGAAUGUUUGACAGUGGUUGAGCUGUCAAUUCUACUUAACUGCCUCUAACAAAUGCAUUAUUUUCAACCAUACUAUUGAUUACUGUGAAUGAACAUUGCAAAAUACAGAAGUAAGGGUGAUUUCACGCAUCUUACACACGUGUGAAGUAUGUUGUGUACAUGUGUGUCCGCCAAACAAGUGUGUGACAGGUGCUGGACAGGAAUGGUGUUAAAUUCUCCGCACUGUCCCUAUUCUUGGUUAUUUGAAUCUGAGGCUCCAAAGUAUGGAGCUGUAAUCCAGUCUUUAAUGACUAACGCCUCUAUAUACACACACAGAUGGCACGUGAAUACGUUCAAGAUCAUCUAGACAUUAAGUUACACAAUUUAAUGUUUUACUUCAUUAUAGUGUAUUCACAUUUUAUCUUAGCAGCAAUUGCAAUAGAACAUUUCCCUCCAUUAUUUAAGUUGGGUGAAAUUAAUAGUAGCAUAUUAUUAUAGGAAACCCAUUGCCAAGAAGAAGAAGAAAAAAAGGUAUUUAUUUCACAAUUUGAACUUUGUUUUCCUUGAAAUUCUGAGACAAUGGUAAUCUGAUUUGAAAUUGUGAGAUGUCAACUUGCAAUUCUGAAAAUAAAUUCAGAAUUGCAGAUUUAAAAUGAGAACUCUUACCUUUGUUCUCACAAUUCCGAGAUAAUACCUCACAAUUCUGAAUGCAUUUGCCAGAAAUCUGAGUUUACAUUUCAGUUCAG